UAAUACGAAGGUGGCAAGCGUUGUUCGGAUUUACUGGGCGUACAGGGUGCGUAGGCGGUUCGGUAAGCCCUUCGGGAAAACUCCAGGCUCAACCUGGAAAGUUCGGAGGGGACUGCCGGGCUAGAGGACGGGAGAGGAGCGCGGAAUUCCCGGUGUAGCGGUGAAAUGCGUAGAGAUCGGGAGGAAGGCCGGUGGCGAAGGCGGCGCUCUGGAACGUUCCUGACGCUGAGGCACGAAAGCGUGGGGAGCAAACAGGAUUAGAUACCCUGGUAGUCCACGCCCUAAACGAUGGACACUAAGUGUCGGCGGGUUACCGCCGGUGCCGCAGCUAACGCAUUAAGUGUCCCGCCUGGGAAGUACGGCCGCAAGGUUG
rnacentral:rRNA from 1 species